GAUGAACGCUAGCGGCAGGCUUAACACAUGCAAGUCGAGGGGCAGCACGGGUAGCAAUACCUGGUGGCGACCGGCGCAAGGGUGCGUAACGCGUGAGCAACAUGCCCUAUACAGGGGGAUAAUCCAGGGAAACUUGGUCUAAUAUCCCAUAGCAUUUAGAGGAGGCAUCUUCACUAAAUUAAAGCUUCGGUGGUAUAGGAUUGGCUCGCGUGACAUUAGCUAGAUGGUGAGGUAACGGCCCACCAUGGCUAUGAUGUCUAGGGGUUCUGAGAGGAAGACCCCCCACACUGGGACUGAGACACGGCCCAGACUCCUACGGGAGGCAGCAGUGAGGAAUAUUGGACAAUGGAUGGAAGUCUGAACCAGCCAUGUCGCGUGAAGGAGGACGGCCCUAAGGGUUGUAAACUUCUUUUGCAGGGGGAUAAAGUAUUCCACGAGAUGGGAUAUUGCAAGUACGCUGCGAAUAAGGAUCGGCUAACUCCGUGCC
rnacentral:rRNA from 1 species